CAAUUGCUGCAUUUGAGGUUGUGUUAAUACACAAUUAGUGUAUUAAUUUUUCUGCAAUAAUGCUUUGCUGGUCUCAUGGAAUAGGAGAAAUGGGAGCAUUGAUUACACAGCAGAAAUCAAUAUCAGCCAUGCAACUGACUUAGAAUACAUCAAAAACUUCGUUCUUUGAGUUUAUCAUUAUGUGAACAGGGCAGGGCAACACAUGGAUCAGGAUUGAGACAUCUGCCCUUGAAGACUUGAGAAACAAUGUGAAUAAGGACAGAUGCAAUGAAAUGGUGAAGAUGAAGAAAGUUGCGUGAUGUCAUGAAGAGGCCAUAGUUCUUAUCCCAGGAAGCAUGUGCUUUGUUCCUACCUUAGCCCAGUAUGUUCAAAUGUUGACAUCCCUGGAGACAUGCUCUUUGCCUGAGGAGUCACUGGAGGAAAAAGAGACAAAAUGCUGAAGCAGGAAGUAUAUUGAGGAUGACUUGUGACUAAAAAGCUAGAGUCUGAGCAGAAAAGUAACAGCUACAGGUCUCCAGUGAGUUCUACAAAGGAUACACCGACAAUUAAGACACUGUCCUGGGGUGUGGGAUGUAAAGAUGUGUGUCCUGCUUCAAUGAGCAUAAAUAGCUGGCUUGAUAUAGAUUCCUCUGAACUAUGCAUAGAGACUGGAUCUUCAGUCUGUCUGAGGCCAGAACAGCCCCUUAACCUGGAGGCAAGAGUUGUCUAUUGGGCAGUGUACAAAUGGAAUAUCUGUAAUGGACUGGGCUGGAAUCCAUGUGGUGUCUGCUACCUGAAAUAGUGACAGUCCAUUAGAAACACACUUUCUACUUUUGGUGCCCAAUCAAGUCUCUGUUGACAAUGUUCAUCCCUCUUGACUAGAAGACAUUUUCUGCUCUGAACUGUAAACACACAACUCUGAACUUCUCUUUACAUCAGUGAGAUAAAAAUAACUCAGACUUCUCUCUUUCACCUGAAAAUGGGUCAUAAUUCCCCCUAUCUUCCAAGGAUUUGGGAGUGGGGCAUCACUUCCAACUUUUUUUCCUUUAACGUGCCAAUAAAACUCUAGAUUCCUGUGAGAGGAGAAAGAAAUAAAUCUCUACAUAGAGGCAUGUUAACAUAAACUCAUGCAUUAGGUGAAGUGUCACUGAACUGUUGUGCAGUUUUCUCUAGGAGCGGUCUCUACUGGACCAUGCCCAGAGGGAAAAAGAAAGCAUCAGGCCUGGUGGUGCUGUAGAGGAAGAGAGAUGCUGAAGGAAUUAUUGGGUCCAAAUAGCUGUUGGAUAUUCAUCCAGGGUUCCUAGUGGAACCGACUAUUUAUAUAGUCUGUUAUAUAUAGAAUAUAGAACUUUUAUAUAGAACUUUUAGUAUAUAGAACUGUUUAUAUAGUAUAUAGAACAGACUAUUUAUAUAGUCUGUUAAGAACCAAUGUUAAAAUUAGUCCAAUGUUCUGGGAAUUAUAAUAAGUUAGGUAGAUAAUCCAUCCACAAGACAAUAUUGUCGCUACUAACAGCCAAACAAUGUUGGAGUCGUGUUCUGUUAAGAAGUCUUCCAACUGAGUGAUACUUGGGACAAAGCUAUCAUUUUUUCUUUGAUCCAUUGCUAAAUUGUUUCUGUACCAGCACCUAUAGAAGCCAUCCCCCUCCGCAGCAGCUCCACUAGGAACCCACUGUCCAAGUGGCUUCUGGACAGUGGAAUAGUUGACAGAUGGCAGACUGGUUUAGGUUGGGAGGGACCUCUGGAGGUCAUCUGGUCCAAAUCUCAAACUCUUUACCUCAGAACACAGGAAUUACAGGCAGGGGCAAACAGCUCUCAUACAACAGGUUCAGGAUCUUGUUUGACUCUUUCAGCAAAUAUGUCUUAUAUUCUUGAACCCACAAAACAUCUCUUCCUCUAAAUAUAUUGUCUCUGUAAUUAUAGUGGAUCUGAUACCAAUUUUUAUUUUUUUUCUCAACUGAAAACUGAGUUUAUAUGCUCAUAUUUUUGCCCAGAUAGCAGUGCACACUCACUCAAAACCUCUAUUGUGGAGUACUUCAAAACUUAACACUGUUUGAAACGCCUUGAAGCUGCAACUGACAUGAUCUUCUUUAAAACUUGUGUUCAUAUGUGUACUCUUACUUUUAGUACAAUCAUAGGUUAUCAAACCAGAAUGCCAAUCAUUUACUUCCUUUCUUACUUCUGUUUAUAUUUCAGCUGUUUACCUGACUGUAGGUUACUUUUACAUGCCUUUACUUAUUGAAAAAGAAAAGAAAAAAAAAAAAAGGGGAAACAGCAAGCAGUAUAGCUUUUUGCAGCAAACGUGCAAGUAUGGGUAAUUAUGAAGUAGAAAAGUGAUCAAAAGUGAUCAUUUAAUCUCCAUAAGUUGAAAAAGGGAAAUUCCACGGCAGCAAUAACUUUCCUUUUCCUUUAGGCACUGGAGUAGCAUUUUCUGUAUUUUGUUAUGUUGGGAAUGUUAAUGUACAAGACAGGUCUGGUCAUCCAUCAUCCAGAAAAAUGAAUUUGACAAAUUUGAACAGUUUAGAAAACAUUUACUGUCAAAAUGUUCAGGAUCUGGAUAACCUCUUUAAGGCUGCAACAAGCUUGUUCUAAGGAAGUGAGAGGAAGAUAGCCUGCAGCUGUGUACGAGGUGCAAGUAGAGGCAGGAAGUAGAUUCUCAAGGUAAAGAGCUAUGUGUGCACUGAAUAGGAAAUUAGAUCAGGAAUUAGAUUCCAAACAACCAAAAGAAUAGCUAUAUAAUACAGUCUUUUUAAUGGAAAAUAUAUCAGCAGCAAAUCUGAAUGAGUUUUGUUAUUUUAUAAGUAUAGUGGAUGUAUGAAUGUGCCAUGUGAUAUAUUCAUGCAAUGACAAUACUGAGGACAUUCCUUCUAGUCUCAUGUUGAUUCUCUUACACUCCAUUUCCAGGAGCAGAUUUUUCAGAAACUUAUUUUUCUUUUUUCAAGCCUUACUUCUACAAAUGUAAAGCCUUUGAGAUUCUGUUCUUUACGUAUGUUUUUCUUAGAAAAAGAAUUAAGCAUCUUUCUUGAAAUCUCUACAUAUCACAUAGGGAAAAAUCAAAGAAAUACAAAUAAUUUAUUGAUGUAUUUUUACUUCCUCUAGGUAGCGUCUUAUAGAUGCAUUAGCCUUUUAAACAGUAUUGUUUAUGAAAGACUUAUUAGAACUUGUUUGUUUUUGUUUGGGUUUGGUUUGUUCUGUUUUUCUUUAUGUUAUGCAUUCACUGACCUAUUUUGUUGUAAUAGAUGUAAAAAGACAUUGGUAAUCUCCACCUAAUGAGACUUACCUAAUUGAUUAUUGAAUGUAAUUUUCUACAUUUUCUCUUUUAAAACAGGUGGGAAUGAAAAAUAAAUGAGAACCUCUUUCAUGAAGUUCUUUUUAUUUGUUAUCAGUCUUUUCAUUGAUGUCAAAUCCUACAACUGAAAUUUCAGUUAAGAGCAAUAUAUACCACACUCCUAGAUGCAGUUUCAUGCAUACCAUAAUAAUGAGAAAGACAGUUAAAUUUAAUAUUUCAUAUAAAAAGAUUACAAUUAUCUCUUAUCUAGCAUUCUUGCUACAGAAACACUGUUUUGGGAGGCUAAGGAGAGAGCAGGAGAUGGCUUUGAUCAUAUCCGUACUGGAAAUUCUGAGAGAUUUUUUUUAUUCCUUUCCAAAUUUUUAUGCAUAAAUUAAACAGGAGCAUGUUGUGAACCCCAGUCCCAGGUUGUCACAGAUUCCCCAGGGUUCGGAGAACCAGAAUCUAGUCAGUUUGCUGGCUGAGCCGCGUGGGGAGUGAUGACAUGACCCAAUAUGAGUGCAUCAAAAUCUCCAUUUAUUAUCCGUUGCUUACACACAUAUAUAGAUUGUGGCGAAUGUGCAUCAGCUUGUAAUUGGUUGAAGCAUUAUGAGAGCCCCCGGCCCUACAAUACCAUUGGCCGUGGAAUCACACAUCUUGCUCGCAUAGCUACUGAUACAGCAUUAAUCUUCGCAUUGUUCUUUGUAUUCCAUUACUCAGUCUCUUCCCAGGCUAGCUUCCCCCUUAUCUUAGCUACAGCCUCAGCUUCUUCUUUGUGCUUUCAUAGCCUCAAGGUCUCCUAGCCUGAGUUGUGCACAUAGCACCCGAGCUUAGCAAGUUCUUGCUCCCUGAGCUAUCAUAGCAAGCUAGUACUUUUCCAUUUGUAUUUUUUGCCAAUUGUUAGGCCUGUCCUGCUUGUACAACUGUUCAAGAGACCCAUGGCCCCCUUGGUUGUGGAGCCAUUCCUCAACAGGAGAAUACUCUCUAAAGGAUCUGGAGAUCAAAAUAAUUUCCAUUAUCAUCUGAAGAAGCCAAUAGUACGUUUUAUUAUACUUCCCUUCAGCUAAAUGAUUUGUUUCAAGUAGCUCCUUUCAUGUUGUGCAUUUCUAAGGUAAUGUAUGGAUACCAUAAUGAAACUUGAAGAAAGGUGUUUCAUUAAGAAAUUAAUUCUAGAAACUAAAUAUGAAUUAUCUUACUGAUUUGGAUAGCAUACUUGUCUGGUGAAUUACUUUCAGACGUAGAGAGUGUAUAAACAGGAGGGGGUAUGUUUGUCUGUGAGGGUGGAUAGUGACAGGACAAGGGGGGGGGUGGUUUUAAACUAAGAACAGGGAAGGUUUAGUUUAGAUAUCAGGAGGAAGUUUUUCAUAUGGAGGACGGUGGUGCACUGGAACACGUUGCCAAGGGAGAUUGUGGACGCCCCAUCCCUAGAGGCAUUCAAGGCCAGGCUGGAUGUGGCUCUGGGCAGCCUGAUCUAGUGGUUGGUGACCCUGCACAUGGCAGGGGGGUUGAAAUGAGAUGAUCAUUGUGGUCCUUUUCAACCCAGGCCAUUCUAUGAUUCUAUGACUCCAACACUGUUUUACAUUAAGUAUUUACUAUGUAGUUAACAGAAGCCAACAGCAGAAUCCUAGUAGCAUUUAGAAGAAUUUAAGCUAAGAUCUCUUUAGAGAAUGUUUCAAAUUCAUCUACAUCUGCAUCUAGUAUAAAAGAUUUGUAGGAAGAAUUAGGAACACCAUUCUGCAUCCUCUUUCUAUUUCCAAUCAUGUUAGUUGUUCUUACUGAUCACCUCAAAUAGCAACUGUAAUUUUUAUUCAUAUGCAUAUUUUUCUGCCUGUGGCUUUUCCUCUUGCCUCAGAGCUCUGUAACUGCCUCCAAGACCUGACAAAAGCUUUGCAUACAUAUAAGAUACUCCAAAAAUGCAGUAUUAAUUAAUUAUAAUGCACAGCUCUAAAUUUUGCAUAAUUCCAAUUCACUAUUAUAAAAUUUGUGAACUGUCAAAAAAAUACUCUUAAUGAAAAAAAACCUUCUAAAUUACAUAUUAUUUACAAUUAAGUUGGCUUAGAAAAUCCCAAUAACAGGUCAGAAUUUCUUAUCAAGGCAGAGUGGUGCUAAGAUUUAUGUUAACUCACUCUUUCAACAAAAUGUGUUAGUGCUAUCCUUCUGUUUAAUGCAGCCCAAGGAUUACAAAAUCCCCAGAUGUCAACUCCUUGAUUACAAGGAAGCAAUUAGUAAUAGAAUCUAAAUUUAUAUUCCUCAAGAUGAAGGAAUAAAACUCCUAUGAGAGUAAUUUCUGUGGGCUGUGUUUCAGAAGAAAGCACACUUUCAACAACAAAAACCUCUACUGUGAAAAAGUGCCAUAAUAUUAAAUUCAUACCAGAUAGGGCUGCUAUAGUCUAAAAAUAAAUGUAUAAAUAUCACGGAGUUUUCCGAGUCCGUGACAAGGGGGCCACAGGCUCAGGGAAAAAGAAAAGAAAAGAAAAGAAAAGAAAAGAAAAGAAAAGAAAAGAAAAGAAAAGAAAAGAAAAGAAAAGAAAAGAAAAGAAAAGAAAAGAAAAGAAAAGAAAAGAAAAGAAAAGAAAAGAAAAGAAAAGAAAAGAAAAGAAAAGAAAAGAAAAGAAAAGAAAAGAAAAGAAAAAAGAAGGGAAG
ensembl:lncRNA